CAACACUGGGAAUGAGAACUGCCCAGACUCCUACGGGAGGCUGCAGUCGAGAAUCAUUCGCAAUGGGCGAAAGCCUGACGAAGCGACGCCGUGUGAGCGAUGAAGGCCUUAGGGUUGUAAAGCUCUUUCGCAUGUGAACAAGAGAGRSUAUYUAAUAUUUAGCCAAUUUGAGCGUACCAGGUAAGAAGCACCGGCUAACUCC
rnacentral:rRNA from 1 species